CCUACGUGAGGCAGCAGUGAGGAAUAUUGGUCAAUGGGCGCGAGCCUGAACCAGCCAAGUAGCGUGAAGGAUGACUGCCCUACGGGUUGUAAACUUCUUUUAUAAAGGAAUAAAGUGAGGCACGUGUGCCUUUUUGUAUGUACUUUAUGAAUAAGGAUCGGCUAACUCCGUGCCAGCAGCCGCGGUAAUACGGAGGAUCCGAGCGUUAUCCGGAUUUAUUGGGUUUAAAGGGAGCGUAGAUGGGUUGUUAAGUCAGUUGUGAAAGUUUGCGGCUCAACCGUAAAAUUGCAAUUGAUACUGGCAGUCUUGAGUACAGGUGAGGUAGGCGGAAUUCGUGGUGUAGCGGUGAAAUGCUUAGAUAUCACGAAGAACUCCGAUUGCGAAGGCAGCUUACUAAACUGCCACUGAUAUUGAUGCUCGAAAGUGUGGGUAUCAAACAGGAUUAGAUACCCUUGUAGUC
rnacentral:rRNA from 1 species